GUCUCCGGUUUAAACAGUCCACAGAGCAAGACCUCGGCUCUGCUAUUCUAGAUUUCCUAGCCCGUAUUUUUCACUCUGUUUUAUUCUUCUCAAUGACUCACACACAGGGCUGAGACUGUGCUGUCAUGGAAAAGCACAUAGCAACAGCAGAAUGACGGCUGGAGGAGGGGUGACUUUCUCUCAUGUGCAUUCAUAGUGAGCCACCUAACGUAUUAGCCUCAGAGUGGAGUGGCGUCCUGGUUGCUGUGGCAACUGACAGGCGCACCUUUGGUGAGGUCAUCAGAGAUGGACCGGAAGUACAGCGGGAAGCCGCGUCUCCGGCCACGAGCAGAGCACUGGCGGGCUUCUUCUAGAUAAAAGGUGCAGCGUAGUGGAUGGAUACACCAGAAACAGUGGUGAUGUUAAAAGUUCUGCCUGGAAGAAGACUGCUACUCCAGGUGCAUGAGACGAGGGAGGUAAUCAGCCACCAACUUCAGAUAUUAUUAUCUUAUGUAUGUUUUAAGAUUUGCUAUACACACUUGCUUUUUAUUGUAUCUAGUUUUAUUGACCUUCAGUUUAUGUAUGUUCCUAUACAGGGUUUGUUUAUCUUUUUGGAACACAGUUACUGCUGUAUAUUAUCUCUGUGUAUUUGACCCUAUUAUCCCAGGACAGUCAAUAAUAAAUCCUAUUCAGUGCUAUUCCGGAGGCUUUUACAAAUCUCUUCUAUAAAGUAACACAUUAAUGUAAGUAAAUUUGACCAGAAACCUUUCAAUCUGUCGCUAAGCGAGAAGAGGCUAUAUCCAAAGACAAAUAGCCGACAGAUAUUCUCUAAAUUAUUAUGGUUGCUAUUUGCUUUCAUGACAGUGUUUUUUACUACUGGGCCUUGAAAUCUAGCCUGUGGCUCCAGAGUUCAGCGUUAAGAAUACAGAUUGUCCUAAAAGACCUCAAGAAUAGUUUUAGAACAUACUGUAACUAUGAUUUGUUCAUGUUAAACUGCUUCACUGCUGCACAAGUCUGACACAGAUUAAUAUAGGGACAUUUACAGAUGUCAACAGAAAUUUUUCAUACUUAAAUGGCCCAUUUAGAGACCUUCAGCUGUGCAUUAGCCUUUGCUACACAAAGGCUUUCAAUAAUGGUUCUAAUACAGCACACAAGUAAUUUCAUUUAACUAUCAGGGGAAUAAAAUACUAUGAUUCUAAGCUCCUAC